rnacentral:lncRNA from 1 species
ACCUGUUUAAUAAAUAGAUGUAGUUUAGAUUGACAGAAGUUUGAUCUAUCUUGUAUCCUGACUGACCUAUAUCUGAUUCAACCCAACCUGACUGCCAUCUCUUUAUAUAAGUAGGAAAUUGAGAAGGAUCCAUCUGAGCUGAAAUUUUGCCUAGGACAGAAAUUAAGUAUGAUAACCACCAAGCCAUGCAUGGGAGGAU